rnacentral:rRNA from 1 species
AUGAAGUUAAAUGCUUCUCCAGGGCCAGAUGGUUUUAAUGUUGAAUUUUACCUGGCUGCUUGGGAUUGGAUAGGAGAUGAGAUUACCCAGCUUGUUAUCAAUUUUUAUCUUACUGUUGUUUUGCCUCCUCACAUUAAUGAUACCAGCAUUGCUCUUAUUAAAAUAGAUCUUGCUAAAGCCUUUGAUCGUCUUGAAUGGAGUUUUAUUGUUUCUGCUCUUUCUCGGAAAGGGUUGCAUGGUCAUUUCAUAAAUUUAGUUCAUGCUUGCAUCUCCUCGCCUACGUUUUCUGUUGUCAUUAAUGGGCAGCCUUCUCAAAAAUUCAACAGUUCUAGGGGUAUUCGUCAAGGUUGUCCUAUGUCUCCUUAUUUAUUUGUUAUUGCUAUCAAUAAACUCUCCAUUGCCCUUAAUGACGCUCUUGCUGCUCAUCAAUUACAGGGUAUCUCUCUUGGACCAAAUUGCCCCUCCAUUCACUCUCUUUUAUUUGCGGAUGACUUAUUGGUUUGUGGACAGACCACUUUGCAGGAAGCUCACACCAUGGUUAAUCUUAAACCAAUUUUGUGCUAUUUCUGGUCAAACUCCAAACUGGUCUAA